rnacentral:rRNA from 2 species
UGGGGAAUAUUGCACAAUGGGGGAAGCCCUGAUGCAGCGACGCCGCGUGAACGAAGAAGGUAUUCGUAUCGUAAAGUUCUGUCCUAUGGGAAGAUAAUGACAGUACCAUAGAAGAAAGCUCCGGCUAAAUACGUGCCAGCAGCCGCGGUAAUACGUAUGGAGCGAGCGUUGUCCGGAAUUAUUGGGCGUAAAGGGUACGCAGGCGGUUUAAUAAGUCGAAUGUUAAAGAUCGGGGCUCAACCCCGUAAAGCAUUGGAAACUGAUAAACUUGAGUAGUGGAGAGGAAAGUGGAAUUCCUAGUGUAGUGGUGAAAUACGUAGAUAUUAGGAGGAAUACCAGUAGCGAAGGCGACUUUCUGGACACAAACUGACGCUGAGGUACGAAAGCGUGGGGAGCAAACAGG